UACGGAGGGUGCAAGCGUUGUCCGGAUUUAUUGGGUUUAAAGGGUACUUAGGCGGGCCUUUAAGUCAGUGGUGAAAGCCCAUAGCUCAACUAUGGAAAUGCCAUUGAUACUGGAGGUCUUGAGUUCAGUUGAGGUAAGCGGAAUUUAUGGUGUAGCGGUGAAAUGCAUAGAUACCAUAAAGAACACCGAUUGCGAAGGCAGCUUACUGGGCUUGAACUGACUUUGAGGUACGAAAGCGUGGGGAGCGAACAGG
rnacentral:rRNA from 1 species